rnacentral:rRNA from 1 species
GACGAACGCUGGCGGCGUGCCUAAUACAUGCAAGUAGAACGCACAGUUUAUACCGUAGCUUGCUACACCAUAGACUGUGAGUUGCGAACGGGUGAGUAACGCGUAGGUAACCUGCCUGGUAGCGGGGGAUAACUAUUGGAAACGAUAGCUAAUACCGCAUAAUAUUAAUUAUUGCAUGAUAAUUGAUUGAAAGAUGCAACUGCAUCACUACCAGAUGGACCUGCGUUGUAUUAGCUAGUAGGUGAGGUAACGGCUCACCUAGGCGACGAUACAUAGCCGACCUGGGAGGGUGAUCUGCCACACUGGGACGGAGACACGGCCCAGACGCCUACGGGAGGCAGCAGUAGGGAAUCUUCGGCAAUGGACGAAAGUCUGACCGAGCAACGCCGCGUGAGUGAAGAAGGUUUUCGGAUCGUAAAGCUCUGUUGUAAGAGAAGAACGGGGGUGAGAGUGGAAAGGUCACACUGUGACGGUAUCUUACCAGAAAGGGACGGCUAACUACGUG